rnacentral:rRNA from 1 species
AGCAGCCGCGGUAAUUCCAGCUCCAAUAGCGUAUAUUAAAGUUGUUGCAGUUAAAAAGCUCGUAGUUGAAUUUCGGGAUCAAGUCGUCGGUCGUGCUCAGGUACGUACUGGCGUCAUUGAUUUCUCCCUUCUGACGAACCAUGAUGUCAUUAAUUUGGUGUUAUGGGAAAUCAGGACUGUUACUUUGAAAAAAUUAGAGUGUUUAAAGCAGGCUCACGCUUGAAUACAUUAGCAUGGAAUAAUGAAAUAGGACGUUCGAUCCUAUUUUGUUGGUUUAGGAUCAACGUAAUGAUUAAUAGGGAUAGUUGGGGGCAUUAGUAUUCAAUUGUCAGAGGUGAAAUUCUUGGAUUUAUUGAAGACUAACUACUGCGAAAGCAUUUGCCAAGGAUGUUUUCAUUAAUCAAGGAACGAAAUGUUAGGGGAUCGAAGACGAUCAGAUACCGUCGUAGUCUUAACCAUAAACUAUGCCGACUAGGGAUCGGAUGAUGUUAAUUUUUUAAUGACUCAUUCGGCGCCUUAC